rnacentral:lncRNA from 1 species
GUCUAAACUUGACUGGUACUUUAUAUGCAAAAAACCCCCACUUGUACAUGUCUGAAAUAGGACAAAUUUAAGCACCCACUUAAUUAGCACUAUACAGUACAUACCAGGGACAUAAUCAAAAUUUGUGAUGGUGGAUCAAUUCAAGGGACAAAUUCCAAGGAGAUAUAGCCAUAAUCUAGUUGAAUUGCAUCAGCUUUUUUGUUUGUUCCUAAUCAAGCACAAAUUCCGAACCGUAAAAUGCCUCUCCAGUCCUCGAGAAGACAUUGUUUCUCUGAAUGCUUCGAAACACCAGGGAUCCUAAUCAUUUUGCCACAGUUGUAAUAUGACUCUGAUUGGAGUCAUUUGGAAAAAAAUGGGCUGCCUGGGGGCUGCCUCUGUAGAAUUCGCCCUGCUGAUAAUUGCCCCGGUCUGUAAUUUCCCAGCAUUGAGAUUGGUGUGUGUGUGGAUCCUAAUGAUCAGAGGUGUUCAUCCACUCAUCCCAGUUAGAGGUAUUUCUCUCAUGGAACAUCUGAGCGCUUCCUUGCAAAGCCAGAAAGUCACAGCUGAAGAGUUUUCUUCCAUUGGCUCGAAAGUGGAUACUGGUCGAUAAGUGCUCACAUGAUCAUUCAUUGAACGGUCAAUCAGGGGCCGUGUCCAAAUAAACGGUCUACAGACAGUAUGGAUAAGUGCCAGCAGCACCCCUGCCAGGUUGAGCGAGUAUUAUGGCCAUGGGUCCCACGGUCAUCACUAUUGAGGAGGUGCGGGCGCUGGAGAGCAAGGAGGAGCAGGAGGAGUCCAUUUUGGCCUUGCUGGGCAUCGUUGGCACUUUCCUCAACCUCUUUGUCAUCGUCUUUGUUUACAUAUACACUGUCGUGUGACCUAAGCCAGAGUAGGAGUGAUCCUCCAAAACGACAAGGCACAAACCAAGAUUCCUUUUAAUCCUAAAUCAACAUAUACUGGAUUUUAAAUCCCGAGCUCCUCCCCUUAACUUUAUACUAGUUAAAAACGACAUGAGCAGUUUCCCAACACAGAGAGUGAGGAUGGACAGUUAUGUGGAGGAGGCGUCUCACAGCCACGAACCAGGGAGAUAACAGUGAGCUGUUGGCUACAUCAGGACCAUAGCUGUGCUGGAUCUGGAUCCAGGAUGGGCAGACAGACACUGGCCCAGCCCCAGCCAGGGUUCACUUUCCCAGGCUACAGGCCAGCACAGCCUGGAGUGGAACAUCACCUUAGACUCAUUGGCGUGAUGAGGGAAACAGUGUUACUGACAAAUCUCCUUUGUCAAAUGGAUUAUAAAAAAACGGAAUAAGGGACACUGAUGUCACUGGCCUGGACGGUUCAAGGGGCAUGGCGUGGAGGAGGCAGUGCAUGCACAGAACACUGGGAAGCCAUUACAGAUUAACUGUACACCACCAUAUCCCAUUGGUAAUCUUCCGGGGACAGCGUUUUAAACUGCUUGGUGGGAUGUCACAGUGCACGUUACCCCGGCAGUGUGGCUCUGGAGGAGCUUAAUGUAAUGUGCUGCUUGCCGUCAGAUAGGCCACACGCACGCGCGCACACACACACACACCCCCCCAAAACCAAAGGGUUAGUCACCGCUUCUCAUGAUUUGACAGAUCACAACAGAGCGAUCUCUAUUGUCUGUAUCUCGCUCCCGGCAAGAACUGAUCUGCGAGGAGAGCAGGAGUGGCAAUUACUAGGAAACAUUUCUAUUCCAAUUGACCACCUGGGACUUCAAAACCAAACUGGAGAUCUGCAAUAAAAAAGGAAGUGGAGAGAAAGACCGACAGGAGAGCCUGCGGUGGUGAUGAAAUCAUCCACAGGGGUGGAAAGGACCUUGUGGGCACCAGAAAGAAAGCUCCAUUCUGCAUUUACUAAUACAUAAGGCCUGGCUUACACUGUCUCUUUCUGCAUAUUUUUCCACGUUCUGUUCGGUUAUUGGGGGGUGGGGGGGGCGUAUUUGUUCAUGUUGAUUUCAGGGUAGUGUCAGUAAUCCUGUUUCUGUAUAAAAAUGUAAAGCUUUUAUAAAUAUAUGGAUAAACUCUAGAUGUACUGUGCUAUAGGGAAAAUGUAAACAAUAAAAUUAGAAUAUAUGAAUUGGAUUAGCCUCAAGCCUAAUCUAUGAUGGGUUCUGUGUGAGAAUGUAUGCAUAAGUAAAUGCCUGUCUGAGUAUGUGUGAGACAGAACGCAUAGAUGCCAGUAAGGAUACGAGACAUACGGUGAAGAUGAUGGGUGCGUAACAGGAAGUUUGUCACAUACUCAAAGG